UAGUCCACGCCGUAAACGAUGAUUACUCGCUGUAGGCGAUACACAGUCUGUGGCUAAGCGAAAGUUUUAAGUAAUCCACCUGGGGAGUACGAUCGCAAGAUUGAAACUCAAAGGAAUUGACGGGGGCCCGCACAAGCGGAGGAACAUGUGGUUUAAUUCGAUGAUACGCGAGGAACCUUACCUGGACUUAAAUGUAGAUUGCAUAGAGUGGAGACAUUCUUUUCUUCGGACUAUUUACAAGGUGCUGCAUGGUUGUCGUCAGCUCGUGCCGUGAGGUGUCGGGUUAAGUCCCAUAACGAGCGCAACCCUUAUCCUUAGUUGCCAGCGGAUCAUGCCGGGGACUCUGAGGAGACUGCCACCGUAAGGUGUGAGGAAGGUGGGGAUGACGUCAAAUCAUCAUGGCCUUUAUGCCCAGGGCGACACACGUGCUACAAUGGUACAUACAGAGGGUUGCCAAGCCGCGAGGUGGAGCUAAUCCCAGAAGUGUAUCCCAGUUCGG
rnacentral:rRNA from 1 species